CCCGGCACCGCCUUCCUAACGGCUGUUUGUUUUUGCACACGGCACGCGGAGGCGGGGCCUCCAGCCCCAAUAGUGACGCGCUCUCUGCCUUUCACCAGGCGCCCAAGCCUGACGAACAGAAAGGCAAACCAAUGAGAUUGGACGCCUCGCAGACGAAAGCCAAUAAAAAUAUCGCCCGCGAGCAAGGGAGGCGGGCCACUGGGAAGGACAGCAAAAUUAGCUAAUAAGGUGAAGCGAUUGCAGGCGCUGUGGCUUUCCCGCCCAUUCGCGGCGUUGGUUUUCCCGCUUCUGAGACUUGUUUGGGGAGAGAUGGAGUCCUGGGACUACAGGCGCGCGCCCCAAUGCCCAGCUAACUUUUGUAUUUUUAAUAGAGACGGGGUUUCUCCGUGUUGGUCAGGCUGGUCUCGAACUCCUGACCUCAGGUGAUCUGCCCCCCUUUGCCUCCCAAAGUACUGGGAUUACAGGCGUGAGCCACCGCGCCCGGCAUGUAUUACAAAUUCUAAGAACACGAAGAUAAUGGGGCCGGCUUGGUGGCGCGAACCUGUAGCCUCACCUACUGUCAAGACUGAGACAGGAGGAUCUCUUGAGCCCAGGAGGUCGAGGCUGCAGUGAGUCAUGAUCGCACCACUGCACUCCAGCUUGGGAGACAGAAUAUACCCUGUCUAAAAAAUAAUAAUAAAAAAAAAGGUAAUGGAUGAGGCCGAUAGUCAGGAAUGAAAUGACUUUAAACAAUUGGGUAUGCAUGGGAUUGGGUAUGUGUGUAUGUGGGGGCAGAGGGUGGGCAUAACCGAAGUCCCAUACUCAUGUCCCUCUAGGCCUAAUACAUUUUGCAGACCUCACAGAGCUCAGACUGUUGUGAGCCGUUUUUCUUUUCUCAACCUCUUCAGUGUGUUUAUUUUGCUUACAUCAUUAGGUUAAAAUUUGGAGGAUAACUCCCAGCUAGAAAGGAAGAAAAGCUCUAAAGUGGAAUCGCCUUCCCCCGGAAGCUGUUGUAAAAAUUAAAGGAUGUAUGUGAGUGCACAGGCUCUCCAGCGAUCGUUUUUCUUCCACAGUGUUAACACAAUUUAUUUAUUUAUUUACUUUUUGAGAUGAAGUCUCACUCUGUUGCCCAGGCUGGAUGGAGUGCAGUGGUGUGAUCUGGGCUCACUGCAACCUCCGCCUCCUGAGUUCAAGCGAUUCUCCUGCCUCAGCCUCCUGGGUAGCUGGGACUAAAGGCUCCCACCACCAUUCCCCGCUAGUUUUUGUAUUUUUAGUAGAAAUAGGGUUUCACCAUGUUGGCCAGGCUGGUCUUGAACUCCUGACCUCAAGUGAUCCUCUCGCCUCAGCCUCCUAAAGUGCUGGGAUUACAGGCGUGAGCCACCGCGCCUGGCCUGUUUCCACAAUUAAAAAAGGCCCAUCACCCUAUCAUGAUCAUCUCUAUUACAGUCUGGACAAUAUGAGCUUUCUGGGAGAGCCAGCUUCAUUUCAUAACUGAAGAAAUGGGCUUAGGUGAACUUAGUCAUUUGCCUGAGACCGCAUAGCCUGUAGAUAACCAAGAUACCAGCUCACAUUUGUUCCAACUCAUUCCAGCUUUAAAUUCUUUCAUUCUUUUCACAGUAUGAUGCAUUGACUGUGCUAGAAUGUGUUCUUGGUGUUGGUGAGUUAAUAGUGAAAAAAACAAGUUUCUGCCUUAGUGGAGAUUCUGUUGUCAUAGGAUUUUCCCAGGCUGGCACUUUAGAAAUUUAUAUCCAGGCUGAUGAUAGCUGUUCCAAAGUUUGAAUCAGGAGAAGCAACUUUGGGGAAGUGAGUCUUUAAAAAAAGGUAACUUAAAUUCAAGAAGAGGAAGAGGGUGAGCUUCUAAGUAAGAAUUUGGAAAAAUACGGAUGAAGGUACAGACAAGUGUGAGGAAG
rnacentral:lncRNA from 1 species